UACGUAGGGGGCAAGCGUUGUCCGGAUUUAUUGGGCGUAAAGCGCGUGUAGGCGGUCCGGUAAGUCCGCUGUGAAAGUCGGGGGCUCAACCCUCGAAUGCCGGUGGAUACUGUCGGGCUAGAGUACGGAAGAGGCGAGUGGAAUCCUGGUGUAGCGGUGAAAUGCGCAGAUAUCAGGAGGAACACCAAUGGCGAAGGCAGCUCGCUGGGACGUGACUGACGCUGAGACGCGAAAGCGUGGGGGAGCAAACAGG
rnacentral:rRNA from 1 species